UUGUUUGAGGAUUUGUAAUUUCUUUCAGGUUGAUGACGUCAGAAAAUAUGGGGUGGUGGGCCUCAGCUCUUCCUACAUACAAGUAGGGGUGGCUUCAAGGAAAAUAGGUUGGGAACCACUGAUCUAGCUAAAUGAGACAGGUCAAGUGGCUUGAACUCAAAAGGGGUUCUGUCAAUCAAAUAAUAAGGUAGCAUAUAACUGCUUGAAUAUUUGGACUGUGGUAUGAGGAGGAGAAUGCUGGUAACAUGGUCAUUCUAGAGGUGCAGUCUAUUAAGCUAACCUAGGACCUUCAGUGGACUUCUUAUGGCGAGGUGUUGAUGGGGCAGGGGGCCCCACAAUCAUAUCUAUCCUGGCAAGGCACACAGAGACGAUAUGAGUGCAAUGCAAAAUGAAGCAACGUGGGAAUCACAUCAGCUAUGGAAAACAAAUUUCAAUAUAUUCCACACACACAAGACAUACUGACUUGCUUCGUGGGUGAAGGGUGCAUGUAUUUCACUGUUGGAAUAUAUUUAUUCUACAUGUUAGACCUUUAGGGGAUCACAAUGUGAGGAGCUACUUUGCGGGAGGUAAAACAAUGUGAAUUAUACAUCAAUGUCGUAUCUAAAAUGAAUUUGUGACGCAUUCAAAGCUGAAGGAGUGAAUCACAGUUUGAUAUAUAAAUGUUACAGACUGGAAUCUGAAUACAUCACAUGUCGUUGGACAAAUGAAACAGGCAAAUCAAUGACUUGUGUGUCACGACAUGUGUGUAUCCAACGACACCACAAACACUGUAUUACUGAAUCACAUCUCUACUGUUAUGCUGAACUUAAAUCAUUAUUAUUAUUGAACUAAAGAAAUAACUAUGAAAAUGCUUCCAUGUAUCCUCCAUAUCCAUCCUGACACUUAGGCUGUGUUCACAUUACGAGCGACCAAGCCCUCAGGAAGAGCGCCGGGUUUUGAAGCAAAUUUUCCAGCGUGGUCAAAUGGUGGAAUUACAGCUUCCGUGUCCGUCACGUGAUGCCAUUUGGCCCAAAAAGACUUUUUCCCAUAGACUUAGAAUGGGACGUCCAUAAAUCAGUGAAUACUUUUUUUUGAGGUACCAACCCUCUGAUCAGAACAUUGAGAAAGGUGCGGUCAACUCCUCCUGAAGCUCUACGGAAAAACAAC